rnacentral:rRNA from 1 species
CAGCCGCCACGGGAAUACGAAGGGUGCAAGCGUUACUCGGAAUUACUGGGCGUAAAGCGUGCGUAGGUGGUGGUUUAAGUCCGUUGUGAAAGCCCUGGGCUCAACCUGGGAAUUGCAGUGGAUACUGGAUCACUAGAGUGUGGUAGAGGAUAGUGGAAUUUCCGGUGUAGCAGUGAAAUGCGUAGAGAUCGGAAGGAACAUCUGUGGCGAAGGCGACUAUCUGGGCCAACACUGACACUGAGGCACGAAAGCGUGGGGAGCAAACAGGAUUAGAUACCCCAGUAGUCCCUGUCUCUUAUAC